rnacentral:rRNA from 1 species
GAUGAACGCUGGCGGCGUGCCUAAUAGAUGCAAGUCGAGCGAACAGACGAGGAGCUUGCUCCUCUGACGUUAGCGGCGGACGGGUGAGUAACACGUGGAUAACCUACCUAUAAGACUGGGAUAACUUCGGGAAACCGGAGCUAAUACCGGAUAAUAUAUUGAACCGCAUGGUUCAAUAGUGAAAGACGGUUUUGCUGUCACUUAUAGAUGGAUCCGCGCCGCAUUAGCUAGUUGGUAAGGUAACGGCUUACCAAGGCAACGAUGCGUAGCCGACCUGAGAGGGUGAUCGGCCACACUGGAACUGAGACACGGUCCAGACUCCUACGGGAGGCAGCAGUAGGGAAUCUUCCGCAAUGGGCGAAAGCCUGACGGAGCAACGCCGCGUGAGUGAUGAAGGUCUUCGGAUCGUAAAACUCUGUUAUUAGGGAAGAACAAAUGUGUAAGUAACUAUGCACGUCUUGACGGUACCUAAUCAGAAAGCCACGGCUAACUACGUG